GUGGCCACACCCCCAGGCUGGGCCAUCACCGGCACACCUGCUUUCCAUCAGGGCGAUUACCUGAAGGACUAUUUAACCCCGCGCUGACGGAUGCUCCAUGCCACUUCAUUAAUCACCUCUCUGUGAUUUCGAUCCGGCGUCCUGUAUCUGCCACCUGCCUGUCCUCCUGCUCGACUGGACCACCCGGUGCAUCAUCUGGCCUCAUCACUGACUCCACCAAUUCCCUUUCCACGGACUUUCACACUCCCCUCCCGAGUCCCACAGUCCCACUCCGGUCGUAAGCCUACUACUCAAACCCUGUCUAGUUGUGUUUCCCUGUUUUCCCGGCUCACUAGUAAUUUUCUCCCCUUUCUGUUGCAGCCUCCCACGGUCCCGAUUUCAGCUUCCUCACGUCAUUUGUUUCCCUUGGUUUUUCAGUUCCUCGUUUGCUUCUCUGGUUUUCCUGGGUUACUUUUUGUUAAUAUAAUAAAGUGCUUUUUCCUGCUCGCA